UCGAUUCGAAAUUAUUUUUCUGCAACUUCAUCAUUCAAUAUCUAAUAAUUAAUCAAACAACAUAUCAUAAAUAAUGAUGGCAACGUGGUUUAUCUUUCUUGAAACGGCUCACAACAUAAGUCAUUCUUCCCCUUCUACAUUUUGGUGAUCGAUUUUCUUGUUGAAGGACUCUUUUAUUCACUCCCAUUUCAUCUGAAAUUAAAAAAUAAAAUAAAAAAUAUGAUGAAAGUCUAAUUAUGAUGUACUCCCUCCGUCCCAAAAUAUAAGCAUGAAUAAAUGUGAGAAAAAAAUGGACAUUAAAUAUGGAGUAGUUCACUUACCUGUAUAGUGUUCAGAAACGAUAGGAAUGUUCCUUGUUAAUACUUUGGUAGAAAAACUCAACAAACAGAGAAAG
rnacentral:lncRNA from 1 species